UGAAUUCGGUUGAAUGGCUGGUUCAUUGGGUUCUCUGGGUAAAGGCACAAGGACUCUUCAGAAGACACUGGUCUUCAAACUCCACCUCCAGGAACCAAGGAGUUUCCUAUUUCACAGUUCUCCUGCCCGGCCUGGAGAGUGAAGCCGCUUGAAGAACCCACUUGUAGUCUUCUCUUUACUGUCUUAUAUACUGGGGUUUCAGAUUAUAUUUUUAUUAAAAGUUAGAAUUACAUUUAA